GAUGAACGCUGGCGGCGUGCCUAAUACAUGCAAGUCGAGCGAAUGGAUUAAGAGCUUGCUCUUAUGAAGUUAGCGGCGGACGGGUGAGUAACACGUGGGUAACCUGCCCAUAAGACUGGGAUAACUCCGGGAAACCGGGGCUAAUACCGGACAACAUUUUGAACCGCAUGGUUCGAAAUUGAAAGGCGGCUUCGGCUGUCACUUAUGGAUGGACCCGCGUCGCAUUAGCUGGUUGGUGAGGUAACGGCUCACCAAGGCAACGAUGCGUAGCCGACCUGAGAGGGUGAUCGGCCACACUGGGACUGAGACACGGCCCAGACUCCUACGGGAGGCAGCAGUAGGGAAUCUUCCGCAAUGGACGAAAGUCUGACGGAGCAACGCCGCGUGAGUGAUGAAGGCUUUCGGGUCGUAAAACUCUGUUGUUAGGGAAGAACAAGUGCUAGUUGAAUAAGCUGACACCUUGACGGUACCUAACCAGAAAGCCACGGCUAACUACGUGCCAGCAGCCGCGGUAA
rnacentral:rRNA from 1 species